UGUUGAGUUAAACGACGUCGCAGAUUUCGCCGUCUUCGUUGAACGUUCAACGCUCAACGAUUCAUCUGGGGUCGUCCUGUAGUGUUCAUGGUUGUUCCUCUUCCGACGUCGCACUAUUUGGCGUUUCAUUGUAUACUGAUGCUAAAUUGGAGCCCCCAUUUGGACCCCCGGAUUCCUAUCAAUUCGGCCCGAUGUCAACCGGGCCCUGUUGUCAGUCUUUCUCCCUUCACCACCCCCCUCUCAUUUAUAGGGUUUGGGUUAAUGCUUUAAAGCCUCCAAGGCCAACCGAUGUCUCUCUCCAUCGAAGCCUACGCCUCAUUGGCUCUCUCUCUCUCGCUCUCCAACAACUAACUGCAGACUUUCAUGUUUUAGGCAUGAAGAAUCUUCAUCUGCAAUACCUGAGUCUGAGCUUGUAGAAGAUAAAUUUGUGAAGCCUGAACUCAAUCAAAAAGAUUAUCUGAGGGAAGAUUGGCUUUGGAGACUUAAAAAGGUUAUAGAUGCACUUUUGAUGCAGGACCUUGGAUAGUGCCAUGGAUGGCAAAGACCAUAGUUUAGGUGAAGCAGUUUCCUUCUAUGUUACUUGGAUGUUUUGUGAUGCUAUGCAACUCUUAUCUUUUAGUUUCAUGUUUUUUUACUAGUUAAUGUAGAUAUUCCUUUGUAAAUGUUUAUUUUUGAAGCCAAUCCACUGACAACUCAUGCUUGAAUUUCAUAGUUUCCACCAAGUCAAUAAAUCUUUGCUGCUUUCCUUCCCCCACUCUCUCCACCAAUACCUCAUGCUCGAAUUACAUAGAUCCCACCAAGACUAUAAAAUCCCCACUUUCUCCACUGAAAACUCAUGUUUGAAUUUCAUAAUUCCCAACAAGACUAUAAAAUCUUUGCUCUUUUCCUUCCCCCCACUCUCUCUGUUUUCCCUUCCUUUUAUAAUUAGAGGGGCAUCCAUU